rnacentral:rRNA from 1 species
AUUGAACGCUGGCGGCAUGCCUUACACAUGCAAGUCGAACGGCAGCACGGACUUCGGUCUGGUGGCGAGUGGCGAACGGGUGAGUAAUGUAUCGGAACGUACCAUUGAGUGGGGGAUAACGUAGCGAAAGUUACGCUAAUACCGCAUAUUCUCUCCGGAGGAAAGCAGGGGACCGCAAGGCCUUGCGCUCUUUGAGCGGCCGAUAUCAGAUUAGCUAGUUGGUGGGGUAAAGGCUCACCAAGGCGACGAUCUGUAGCGGGUCUGAGAGGAUGGUCCGCCACACGGGAACUGAGACACGGUCCAGACUGCUACGGGAGGGAGCAGUGGGGAAUGUUGGACAAUGGGGGCAACCCUGAUCCAGCCAUGCCGCGUGAGUGAAGAAGGCCUUCGGGUUGUAAAGCUCUUUCGGCCGGGAAAAAAUCGCAUGGAUUAAUACUCUGUGUGGAUGAUGGUACCGGAAUAAGAAGCACCGGCUAACUACGUGCCAGCCGCCGCAGUAAGAC